GUGCUCAUUUAGGAAGCACAUAUUCUAAAAUUGGAAAAAUACAAAAAAGAUUAGCAUGUCCCCUGCACAAGAAUGAUAUGUGAAUUUGUGGAACAUAUAUAUAUGUGU